GACGUAGGGCGCGAGCGUUGUCCGGAUUUAUUGGGCGUAAAGGGCUCGUAGGCGGCUUGUUGCGUCGACCGUGAAAACCCGGGGCUCAACUUCGGGCUUGCGGUCGAUACGGGCGGGCUAGAGUUCGGUAGGGGAGACUGGAAUUCCUGGUGUAGCGGUGAAAUGCGCAGAUAUCAGGAGGAACACCGGUGGCGAAGGCGGGUCUCUGGGCCGAUACUGACGCUGAGGAGCGAAAGCGUGGGGAGCGAACAGG
rnacentral:rRNA from 1 species